UGGCGUAUAUAUUCAUUACUGAAUGAACGCCACUAAACAUUUACCAACAUUAAACAACAACAACAACGUUCAUUCACUUCUGUUCCUGGAUUGUGAAAUCCAAGGCUAAGGCAAGCCCGUGCAUUAAAGAUUUACCAAUAUUUUGAUGCAAUUAUGGAUGGUCAUUGUUGCAACUGUGGAGCUGAGUUUAGAGAGGAUUUAAGAAGACCAACAUUAAAGGCCUUAAUCAGAGGAAAAGGUGUAUCAUCAGUCGAUGGACUCAAAUCAAUGGGAAUUGUUGUAAGCCCUGGUAAAGAGAUACAGUAUCGCAUAUGCAAAAUCUGUUCCCAGUUGAUCGGCAAAAUAUCACAAUCAAAGACAGAAAUAGAGAAAUCACACUCUUGCCUUCAGAAUAUAAGUGAUGGCAGCACCUACCUUGGGCAGAAGAUUAAACGAUGUCAUUCUCCGCCAGCCUCUCCACCUCAAAAGAGAAGAAACCUUACUCAAACGCCCCAACAAAAUACCCAAGGGACUCAGACGGAGCCCAUGGCAGAGACCCCCGGAGACCCACCCAAGAAACGGAAAGAUACCUUCCUCCCCCAAGCUGCGGCCUACCUGGCAGCUGGGCGGUAUAAGCAAAUGAUGAAAAAAAUGAAGUCUUCAAGAUCCUUCAAUGACGUCAUGAUCAAUUCAGUAUGUCAACAAAUCAAUACUGAAAUCAAAUCUAAUCAGUCCAUCUUCGAAAUCAAUGACACAAAUAAAGCAAAGAGUUAUGAGAGCUUUUCAUGGAAAAAAACAAAUCAACGUCUGAAGAAAAAUUGCCCAACGAUGAUGAAAGUUCUAUCAGCAAUAACGGACAGGGGCCCAGUAAAGAAACCAACGUGAGAAUCACCAUGGCAGCAUCCCAGCUCCUCUACACCCGUGAUCCCAGAAAACACAAAUUCAUUCAGGAGUUGAUUGGAUUGUUGUUGUGGUUUGCAGGAACAAAGAGACAGGUUUUCGAGAGGCUGUCUAGGCUGGGUUUAUGCACCAACAUUGGGACCACCACAAAUUGCAUAGACACUUUGAGGGGUGAAUUUGACACUACCAUUCAUCACCAGAAACUGCAAAUCGCAGAUAUUAAGAGGAGAUCCACAAGGGCAAAGAAACGACUGGUUCCUGCUGAAGAAUGGGAGGAUGAAGGUGGAUGGGAGGAAGGUGUCAACAUUGAUGACACUACCACAACAACAUUUGGAUUUACAUUGACAUUUGACAAUGUGAGUCUGUGGCCUUCAAGGUCACGGUUUUAUUCAGGUCAGCUAAACUUGGUGCAGUCUCAUGCAGCUAUAGACCGUGUGUCAUGCUUCAACCUUAGUGAUGAGGCUCCAUCCUUGAAAGAGCUAUCAAACAUAUCUCAAGAUAUCUUCAUCCCCACUACUGAAGACAAUGACAUGCUAAGGUAUGAGUAUGAAGUGAUGAUUGAACGGAUACUGUCCAAGCAUAUUCCAUGCUUCAAGGAUAUAGACGUCACAGAACACAUCCCGCAUCCAUAUCAGGCAGAGACUAAGAAAAAAAGUGUGAUGGUACCUUUAGGAGUCCUACAAAAAGAUGUAACAAACGUGUCAGAUAUGAUAGACGUUCUGGAACAUCUGCACAAGCAUGUUCCAGGAAACAAGUCUCCGAUACCAGUGAUACUGUACGGGGACCAGCCGUCUUGUGAGAGGGUCCGAGAUGCCAUCGGUGCUCGUAGUAAUGAAGAUACACCGUGGAAUCGCCUCGGCGGGUUACUACCAUCCAUACAGGAGUCGCAUAAGUGCUUACUCUUCCUAGAGGACACAUACAAACUUCUGUUUGAUGCAAAAAGUGUAAAGUCAUGUGGGAGCUUAUCUUUCAUUAAGAGCCGAUAUAGACACACUCAUGUCACACCGAAAGUCUCCAACUGUUUCAACUACGCCACAAGUAUGUUGAGAUUUGCAACAGAAGCACACGUGGUUGCUGCAGCGUGUGAGUACAUGGGCAUAUCAAAGCCCAGUGAUCCCCCCAAAGAUCUACCCCAGGAUCCUAACGCCAAGUCAGUAUAUUUCAGUGAAACAUGUAAAUCUGUACGGGACAAAUCUUUCCAUCCCUACCAGCUUGGUCAUCCUGCUGAGGAAGACGAGGAGCUAGAGGAUGAGGCCGAGGAGGAUGAUGAGGAUGAGGAGCUUGGACCUUUCUGCAUCUGUAAACAAAUCAGAGACAAUGUAGAAAUGGUGUUCUGUCACAACAAAAGAUGUGACAGGGGAAAAUGGUUUCAUCUUGAGUGCCUGCAGUUCAAUUUUCAAGAGCUUCCCAAAGGAAAGUGGUUUUGCAGUGAUAAGUGUCGUCAGCAGCAUCAAGAGGAAAGAGAGAACAAGAAGAAGGGAAAGGAGACUAAUCCAGAUACAAGAUUUGAGUAUUCUAAAGCUAUACUGCACUUAGGGCUUGGGGAGAUGGUGCGCCAUGAUGCAGUACGAGAGGGAGAUGGAAAUCGCAUGAUCCAACACUGGCGUCUAGAUCUGGUCCACUUCUAUGAAAAACAUCACUGGAAAUAUCUAAUCGAAGGUCACAAUCUGAUCAUGGAUGUUAAUGGUGGAGUAUCAGAAAGGGUAGCUCAUCAGCUUAGGUGGAAUAGGACAGAGAACAUACAUGGUGGUGAGGGGAAGAACGUAGGAAAGGAUAAAGACAACAAGGUGUCCAUUGACAGAGCUGGAGGGAUUCUAAAUGAGAGUAAUGUAUCACGUUACAGUCAAGUAGUGGGAAUGAGGAAGACUAUAAAUAGAAAGUUCGACCCCAAGAUGACGACGGGAAGGAUGACGACGGGGAGGAGGAAAGUUGUACAGAAACCUGAAGUCCAGGCCGGGGAAUCUGACACUGCAAAUCUUGCUGAACUGCUGGUAAAACACAAGUGUUUGGUGGAAAUCCCUGGAAGAUCACAUCAAGGAUUUGAAGACUUUGAGUUUGAACAAAAAUUGAAUCUCGACAGGUACAAAGCCAAGAUGUCAGCCCUGAGUAAGAGGAGAGUGAACAAGCUAAAGCAGCAGAGAAAUGAAACGGUAUGAUGAUCCAUGCAUCAAAGUCUGACUGUAAUUUGAGAGAUUGAAGUUGAGAUUAAGCUCAUUAAUGGAUUUUGUCAUCUUGAUGGAUAGGGAGUCAAAUCGCUUAAUCAGCAUAUAUUUUUUGGUAGAUAUUGUUUAUGCAUUGCUGAGUAUUUACGGUAUAUCUACCCUUAUGUGUGUAAUGAUGUGACAGCAUAAAACUGUAGUUUCCAUGUGAUACUUUAUUCCUCUGAACUAGGAGGAGAAGAAAAAAUUGAUAUCUAAAAUUGGUCACUGGAAACCAAGCAAAUUCCAUGAUUUUUCAUAUUUUAGAAGUGUAAUAUUCAUACGUGUAUAUGUUAUAUACAAGCAUUUAUGAUAUGAUGAUCUGGCUUAUUAUCCUACUAUAGGAUGAACCAUAACAUUCCCACAUUUUUAUGAAGCUUUUUAUGAAGUGUUUUUGAUUGUUAUAUAAUAAAGAGAGAUAUGCCCCUAUUUCUUAAAAGUAAAAGCUGAAACAAUGGAUAAUUUAUAUUAUUGUAUUUCAUGUUAAAAAUCUGCAUUAGCCUAUAUGCCUAAUGACUUGUUUAGUAUUCAUGCUAUUUACUUUCAUUCCUUAAUUACUUAGUGCUACAUGGGGUUCCAUAUUACUUUACUGUAUACGAGUUUGAUGAAACAUGUACUGCCAGAUAUGUCCCUUCUAUAGUUUAAUCAAUUAUUAGGUGCAUAUAUACAUGUAUGGGCAACAUAUCAGAUAUAUCCGUGAACUUCCAUUAAUACAUACCUAUCUGGCAGUAAUGAUAUAACCUCAAGGUCGGGAGCUAAUGCGAAGAUCCAACUCACAUCACAAAAUUCAGAGACAGUUGCUGUGGCAGGAAGGACAAGUGUAGGCACCUCAUGAAAAAAAGAAACUACACUACAGGCCUUUCUUGAAGCCCCUGAAAUGGUGAUAAGUUGAUAACAUGAUUGAAAUUGAUUUAACUUCACUUCCUUUCAAAUAUAAUUAAGCCAGAAAAGUUAAAACAGAGUGAAACUCUGUGCUUUCAACAGCAGAAUUAAUGCGCUACUAAUAAACGUUAAAGAUAUAUAUGUAAUUUUGAUUUUCUUCUACCAUGCAAACUUAUGUAACGAGUGUCAAUAUCUCUAUUGUGAGAAUCAUUCCAAAUUUUGUUAUUCAGAGCCCUGAAAAAUAUACAAGAUGUUAGAGUAGAAAGGUCAAAAAAUGAAUGAACAUGUUUCCUUUUUGUUGCAUGCAAUUGAUGCCUGGAAUUGAAAGGAAAAAAAGAGUAAAAGUGCUUUCACAUCCUUGAAUUAGCAACAUAUUGUGAGGCUCACAAUCAUUGUAUAUCAAUAAAAUGAGACCUUUGUUUCAAGUUUUCAUUUUAA
rnacentral:lncRNA from 15 species